rnacentral:rRNA from 1 species
GAACCUUACCAAGGCUUAAAUGGGAAAUGACAGGCUUAGAAAUAGGCUUUUCUUCGGACAUUUUUCAAGGUGCUGCAUGGUUGUCGUCAGCUCGUGCCGUGAGGUGUUAGGUUAAGUCCUGCAACGAGCGCAACCCCUGUCACUAGUUGCCAUCAUUAAGUUGGGGACUCUAGUGAGACUGCCUACGCAAGUAGAGAGGAAGGUGGGGAUGACGUCAAAUCAUCACGGCCCUUACGCCUUGGGCCACACACGUAAUACAAUGGCCGGUCCUUAGGGCAGCUACACAGCGAUGUGAUGCAAAUCUCGAAAGCCGUCUCCUUCGGAUUGGAGUCUGCAACUCGACUCUAUGAAGCUGGAAUCGCUAGUAAUCGCGCAUCAGCCAUGGC